CAAGGAAAGUGUGUUUGUUUCGGCAUUGUUGAUGCACAUGCUCAGCAUUCAUGCAGAAAACGUCUUAGGUUGGAAGAUAAACCAGCUGAUUUGAACGAUGAUGCUCUGUUGGUGUACGGACCUUGUGUUGACACUGACCAGGACAACAUUGAAUGGACUGACAGACUAUUGAAAACUUGGAACGACAACAGUUUUAUGGCUAAGGAUUUUGAUACAACUGUCUACCGAGGACGAAUUAAAAUCCAAUCAAGCGCACGAACUUCAACACCAGCACCCAAGUGGUGGAAUGAACUUCCUCUGUCUGUCCAAACAUCUGAGUCUCUUGCUGUCUUUAAAAAAUGAUUAAAAACCUU